AGGGAUUAGAACCUGAGGUAGUUUAUCAAUGAAGUUAGCAGCAUUUGCAAGUUCAGCAGCGGCUCGUAUCUCUUCUACGGUUGCACCUUCUUUUCCAUAUGCAAUAUUAUCCUUUAUACUUGCUGUAAACAACACAGGUUCUUGGCUAACAAGGCCAAUUUUUCCCCUAAUCCAUCUAAGUUGAAACUCUUUAAGAUUAAUACCAUCGAUAAGCACUUCACCGGCUUGUGGAUCGUAAAACCUUUCUAUAAGACUAAUUACAGUUGAUUUCCCACUUCCACUUUCUCCAACCAAAGCAACUGUUGUACCACAUGGAAUAGAAAGAGAGAAUCCACUGAAAAUUUGCUCUUCUGGUCUAGCAGGAUAACUGAAAUAAACAUCCCUCAGUUCUACAUCGCCGUUAAUGUCCUCCAACACUUUCCCACUCAUAUUGUACGGGUCAAUCUCCGGUUUCCUAUUGAUAGUCUCGAACAUCUUAACCGCCGCAGCUUGACCAGCAGCAAAUGCACUCAUGCAUGGUGAUGAUUGCCCCAGGGACCUUAAACAUAUCCAUAACCACAAAGAGUUCAGUUUCAGCCUAUGAACUAUGAAGCAUGCAUCAUAAUUAUGUAGAGAUUCGGAAUUUAACUUACAAAGAACCAAUCAAUACCGCGACAAUCACAUUAAUGACUUGACCUCCGGUGUAUCCAUUGUUCAAAAUCAACCUCCCACCAAACCAUACAGCCAUACCAUAACUGCAGAAUAAGAUCAUCAUAGCUACACCGAGACCAAGUCCAGCAGCAGUCCCUUCAUGAACACCUGAUUUAUACGCAGUAACAAGAAGCUUGCUAUAUUUACUUAUAGCCUGCUGCUCACCAGUAAAUGACGCAACCUGGAACGAUAUCAAAUAAUCAGUCACAUAUUUCCAACAAGAACAACAACUAUGUUGUGUUAGAACAUACAGUUCUGAUAGAACCAAUUGUCUCUUCAACGAUGGUGCCGGCUUUAGCAUACGCUGCUUGUCCUCGAGACACCAUCUUCGAUAUAAUAAGAGCCAUUGCUCCACCAGCUGUUACAAGUAGAGGUAUAGCUGACAUCAUGACAACAGCAAGGAGCCAUCCUCUAACAAAUGCUAUAACAAAACCUCCUAAGAAUGUAGACACCAACUGUAAAAACUUCCCAACCUGCAAAAACCAAAUUAGUUAAUAUUAUUUCAAUGGUUUCAACCAAACUUUUAGUCAGAUUUCGAUAUAUACCUUUUCGCCCAUCGCGUCCUGUAUGAGAACCGUGUCACCGGACAUACGUCCAACGACCUCUCCCGUAGUUGUUUCCACAUCAAAGAAAGCUAUAUCUUGUCUCAAUAUGGUUUUUAAGUACAAACCUCUUAUUCUUGCAGCUUGUCUUUCACCUGUAACCAUCCAGCAACUCACCUCUGCAAAAAAACAACAACAAAUCCAAGCUUUAUUAGUCUAUGGAUAAAUUGAGACAUAAUUGAGACAUAUAAAGGAGAGAUUAUUUACGAAGACAAGCCGCCGUUCCGGCCCCGGCAGCGAGGUAGACAAAUCUUAAAGCAACCCUUGAGACAACAUGAACUACUCGGUCGUUACUCUGGUUUUGUCCAAAAGCAUCAAUAAGAUCUCCAAGUAUGGUUGUCAUAAGUGGCAUACAUAAACCGUUCCCAAUCGCGCCGAUCGUGCCGAUGAUCAUUAACAUGGUAUCUGUCCGAUCGGCGAAUGCAAACAGCUUGUAAAAUGGAAUAGAGUUGGUUUUUUCAUUCUUUUUGUUGGUUUCCGUGUCUUUAUUUUCUCCAUUAAGCUGUUCUUGGUUUUUUGAUGUGCUGGCUUCAUGUAAGUUCGUAUCACCAUUUGAGCCAUUCUCAGUAGCCAUUAUUGAAGCUCAAGCUCAACAACUUGAAAAUUUAUAUCGAAGCUAGACAAAAAAAAAAAAAAAAAAAAAGAGACAAAUCUGAGACUGUUUGAUGUAACACAACAACCUCGUUUUUAAAAAAAAAAUGAAUCAAAAUUUUUUAAAACAAAGCUUCACCGUUAUUUGAACAGUAAGUAGUGAAGAUCGAAGAACACGCCAUUGAUAAAGCUAUGAUUUAAGCAUUACCCAAAUCCCAACAAAAUCACCAAAAAUGAAAAAAAAUUGAGUCAAUGAGAAGCAUUUUACAUACCGAAAAUACAAAAGGGGUAGUUGAAAACUUGAAAUGAAACACUCAAAGAGUGAAUUUGGGUUGUUUAGAAACAUGUAUUGCUUACUUAUAUUGCUUAUUUCAUGGCUCUUUGCUUGAGCAACAAGAACAUUCUGUCUUGCAAAAAGGCCUUCAAUAUUUUUCAAUGGGUUAAAUUUGUCAUAAGUCCUCGUACUCUUUGAAAGUUCGAAAUUUAGUUUCUAUACUUUUAUUUUUAAUUAUUUAGUCUUUUCACUUUUCACUUUUCAAAAUUUAGAUUCAACUGUUAAUGAUCUUUAAAUUAUUUUAUUAAAUUCAAGUUAUUUAUAACAUAAUUUAUUUUAGGUACAUAACUAUUAAGUGAGUAUUUUUUUAUUUUAAUAUGCCACACAAACAAAUUUAAUAGUGUUAACAAUUGAAUCUAAAUUUUAAAAUUUAAAAAGUCAAAAAAAUAAAGAGUUUGGGGGCGAAAAAAAGCCUUUUCACCUCGAAAGUAAUGCCAAACACUUGACUUUUAAAGUUGAAAGUGUGGUAAAAAAAUAUUAUUCCACCAGGAGUUUAGAUACAUUUUACUUUUGCGUUUUAAAGUAUAAAUUAUAAAAUACCCUUAUAUCUAUUAGCUAUUUAAAAGAUAUUUAAAAUUUACAUUAAUUUAUAUUUUAGGUAUCAUUAUAUUAAAUUAUUUACAUAUGUAUUAUUAUAUUAAAUUAUUUAAAAACCAUUUGCUAUUAUAUUUAAAUUUUUAAAUAUUUAAUUUAUAAUUGAAUUUAUAAAUAAUUUAUUAAUUAUUAAAAGGUUUAAAAAAUAUUUUAUAUAUAGUUAUAUUAAAUUAAAUAUUACCUAAUUUAAUUUAUUUUUUAAUUUUCAAUAUCAUGUAUAAAAUGAACAUUUUAAUUUCUCAAGACAAAUAUUUAAUUUUCAUUAGAACAUUUUAAUUUUCAAUAUCAUGUAUAAAAUGAACAUUUUAAUAUUCAAAAACAUUUCUUCCGAUCGAGUUUUUUAAAAGCACUUUUCAAUAGAACAACAAUGCUAAACUAAACCUAAAUUCCUUGAAAUAAAAAUAUAUGGACUAAAUUUUAAAUUUUUGAGAAGUUGAAGGACUUAUAUUUUAACCUUUUAAAAUCAUAAACGUUCCUGCAAAAGUCAAUUUCUUUUUCUAGUUUUCCCCAUUCAAUGAUAUGUUAUAAUAUUGUGUAAAUGAUGAAUGAUGCAUUUGACUAUUGAUAUAUAUAUCCACGUUUCUAGCUUCGUAUAAUGUAUGAAAAUGAAACCAUGUUCACAUUUAUUACGGCUAAUACUUAAAUACCGGAAAAUUACAACUUGGGAUAUUGACAAUUGAGACCGCCAAGUUUUGUCUUCAUUUGGAGCAAAUCUAUUAUCUUUAUAUGUCUUGUUUCUUUUUCAAUUUUAAUAUUUUCUUCUAGAAGUUUUAUUUUGGAUUGAUUUGAUGGGUUUGCCUUGGAGUUUAUUAUUCGCAGAAAAGUUGAUAAUCACAUGAAACGUUUGAAAUCAUCUAACAAAUAAGAUUUAGAGCACAUUUGGUUCGCUGUAAUGGAAUAGAGGUGUAAUGGAAUAGAGGCGUAAUAGUAAUUCAAUUAUUUGGUUGAAUGGAAUGGAAUAAAACUGUAAUAGUAUUCUUGUGUUUGGUUGAAUGGAAUGAUGUUGUAAUAGCAUAAGGAAAAAAACUAAAAUGACUAGAAUACCCUUAGCAGAUUUUUUUAGGUAGAUGAUUAUUGUUAUUGUACAGACUAAUUUUUGACCCGGGCCUAGUACCCAAACUAAACCCACAACCCAAAUUAAGCCAAAAUAAAAAAAAUAGCCCAAACAAAAUAAUGACCCAAAACCUUAAAAAUUUUUGGAAUGGCCAGAAACCCUAGGGUUUCUGGCGCCCCUUGCGCCGCUGCUACCCCAUGUGCGCCCUCAGCGCGCACCACGCCCGAUGACGACGCCUCCAUCCAUUUUUGCACCAAAAUGGCAAAGCUUUCUGCCAAUGGACUCCACAAACCUGCAAAUAACAUGAAAAAGAAACAGGAGCAGCACCGAAAGAGCAGAAACAGUGAAAAAAAUAGAAAAAGAGCAUUGAUAUUUCGGCUUUAUAAGCCCGAAAUUAUGUUGUAAAAGAGGGAGGAAACGGAUUGAAAAAAAAAACAUUGAUGAAUCAAUAAAAAAAAUCGAAAAUUUGAAGAAAAGGUUUUCUUCUUUCCUCUUCUUCGUUCUAUCUCCUGAUUUACUUCUUUCGUUUUCGUUUUUUAGCAUAUAUAUAUAUAUAUUAAAUAAAAAGAAGAAAAGACGGAGACUUCUUACCUUGGCGCCGUCGAAGCUCUUCUUUGCUCCGUCCAAAUCGGUGUUGAAGAAGAGCGGCUUCAAGCGGCGGAAAAAAAAGGGGGGAAACCCUUAAGGUUUCUCUUGUUCUUAUUAUUGUUUUUUUUUUUUGCUGAUACAGACUGAAUUUUUCCCUUUCUUUUUGAGUCUUAAAGCAACUGUGAAACGACGUCGUUUAUGGCUUGCUUCAGUAGCCUCAAAACGACGUCGUAUAAUGCUCAGACCCGAUGACCCGAUCCGCUUGUAGCUUGACCCGCGCGUUUUGGUAUGGGGAGGGUUAUUUAUGUUCCAGGUCCUUAUUAUUUUUCACCAUGAUUCAAUCUGGUCCUUUCUUUUCUAUUUAUGUCAAGAUUUGCUACUAAAUUUCUAUUUAAUUGGGGGGUGGGUCCUUUGUUUUAUUAUUUUGAUUAGUUUACUACUAGUUUUACUUUACUGUUACUAUUAUUAUUAUUUAGCAUUAUUAUUAUGUUUUAUUAACCUAUAUAACGUUUUAUAUACGUAAUCAUAUUUUAUGACAUGUUAUUACUUUGAGCUUUUACUUAUCAUAUAUUAUCAUUUAAUUUUAUAAUGUAUCAUUCAAUUAUUUAUUAUUAAUAUAACGUAAUAUGUAUACUUUAAUGGUUACUUUGUAGUAUAUUCUUAAGAUUCACUUAUAUACAUUUGAUGCUUUAAAGAUUUAUGCAACAAUAUUUUUAUAUGAUACACCUAUAUAUAAUAUUUAUAAUAUUUACUUUUAUUUUAUGUAUAUAUCAUUUAUUUUCAUAUCAUUAACUUUAAGUUGUCUUUUUAAAUUUAUUUAUAUGUUUUUUAAAAACAAUUUCAUUUUCUACACGUAUAUAAUUUAUAUUUCAUAAUUUAUUGUUGAUUCCCUAUUAUAUCUUUGUUAUUCAUUUCAAUAUACAUAUGUACACUUAGAUACCUUUUUAUAACUUAUUUAUAUAUACAUAGAAACUCGUAUAUAUUUUUAUUUAUUUUGUAAUUUGUACCCAUAUCUAUAUAUAUAUAUGUAUGUAUACAUUUUUGUUUUUAUGAAUAUACAUAUACGUACUUCCUUUUUCAUAUAUUUUAUGAUAUAUAUAUAUACAUAUAUGUACAUACAUGUAUAUCUUUUUAUAUGUUCAUAAUUUUUAUUCAUUUUCUUUAUUGUUAUUAUUUAUUUAUUCAUGUGUUCAUCAUCUUUUUUUUAAAAAGGGACAUUUUAAUUCUAUUCAUUUUUUUUACUUGUUGUUAUGUANNNNNNNNNNNNNNNNNNNNNNNNNNNNNNNNNNNNNNNNNNNNNNNNNNNNNNNNNNNNNNNNNNNNNNNNNNNNNNNNNNNNNNNNNNNNNNNNNNNNUUUAUUUAUUUCAUUUUGUUGAUUGUUUGCAUUAUUUAUGCUUAACUUGUCGUAUUCAUUAUCGUUUUGUUAUGCAUAUUAACACCGUACAUCAAAAAGAAAAUUUUCUAAAUAAGGUAAUAUUUUGUGUUUAGAAAAUCGAGAAAACGUGCCCUAAUGUGCUGGGUUUCGAUUUCUCGUUCGACCCAAAUAGCCAAAUACCCUUUUUAAACUUUCAAAAUAAGACCAUAUUUCGCAUUUGGAAAUUCGAGAAAACGUGCCCUAACGUGCUGGGUUUCGAUUACUCGUUUGGCCAAAUAGUCGAAUAUCUUUUCGAAAUUUUAAAACGAGGCAAUGUUUUGCGUUUAGAAAUUUGAGGAACGUGCCCUAAGGUGCUGGGUUUCGAUUUCUCGUUUAAUCAAAUUGCCAAAUAUCCUCUUGAAUUUUAAUCUAUGCUAUUCUAGUUUUUUUUAAGGAUCGUAUUUUAAAUUUCUUUAAAGUUUUUUCAGUUUUUCGAUACUAAGACAUUAAGUAAUCAACUAGGUACCAAUUUUUGGGCGUAUCGAGGGUGCUAAUCCUUCCUCGUGCGUAACCGACUCCCGAACUCAUUUUUUUGAAUUUCGUGGACCAAACUUGUUGUUUUAAUAAAAUCAAAUCAUUUAUUAAAAACAACCACUUUUCAAGGUGACCCGAUCACACCUUAUAAAAAAGGAUCGGUGGCGACUCCCAUUUUCGUUUUCAUUUUCAAAAACCCAAGUCGACCCCGUUUUCCAUCAAAAAAAUGGUGUCAACAGCUUGGCGACUCCACUGGGGAAAUAAAAUAAGAGAGUCAAGCCACGAGUUGAUUAUUUCUUGUCUUUUUGUCGAAAGUUGAAAAUGUGAUUUAAAUAUACGAUCCUCUCAUUGCAUUUCCUUUGUUUUGAGUUAUAGUUUUCGUCAUGUUUUGUAUUUUAAAUUUUUAUAUCUUUCUGCACAUUGCAUUGCAUGACCAUUGGUCAUACCUUUUAAGUGGGAGUGAGAAGCUAUUUCCUUCGUGAGGUUUUCACCUUCGUGCAGGAUAGUGGAUCGCUUUCGGGAUACAUCCGUACCUAUGUCUUCGUGAGGUUUUCAUCUCCGUGCAGUCAUAGGGAAAUGUAUUCCCCUGAACUGAACUCGGUCUGUAUGAGCCUAUAAUGGGUGAAGAUCGAGGAAUCUGCUGGUUCGGGUACCUCAUCUUUAGAACCAACCCUCAUAUAGUGGACUUAGGAACUUAACCUAGGUAGAGCCACUCCAAGUCCCUAGUAGUUACCUGAUUAGGUACCUUUUGUUUUCCGUGCUUGCUUAUGUUUUGUUCUAACCCCUCUUGUUGUGUUGUGAUCAUGAUUGCAUUACAUUGCAUUUGCAUCUUAGGAAAGAGAUAUUGAUUCAAGUUCAAUUAUUAAAUUAGAAAGCUUGUCAUGGAAUACGAAUUCCUUGAUAAAGUGGAAAACAAUACGACUUCCCGAAUAUAUUCUGAGAAACACAAGAAUGGCGAUGGAAGAGUUCGUGACCCUGCUUCGUGGCUUGAGGAUUCAAGGCAAUUGUCUAAGAGCCUUCAACAUUCUAACCCCUUAAAGAGGCGGACGAGCCUUAUGAGGACGGGCAGGUGAUGGAUUGCAACCAAGAUCAAGAGAAUGAGCUAGCAAUGGCAUCUAUUGGAAAGAUUACCUCAAGCAUGCAGAUGAAAAAAAGGAUAGAUGAUUGGAAUAUGAGGGUGAGGCCGUACAUGUAUCCGUUUUAUGUAAAUGAAUUUGCUUUCUAGAAAAGUUUCCUAAAUGUAAUUGAAUCAGAAUCAACGUCUCUUUAGGCAUGCAUUUCAUACAUUGCAUUACAUGCAUUAAAAUCCUUUGAAAGAGUCUAAACGAGUAAAUUUAUUUCAGUUAACCUGGAAAACCAACCAACCAAACACCUUCACGGUACUCGUCGCAAAACUAAAAUUAUGGAUCAAAGGUUGGACAAGCAGAACGACUUCAAAAGGAAAUGCAAGACCAGUUACAGACGCAAAUGAAGGAACAAAUGGAAAAGAUUCAGCAUGACAUGGCACAAAAGAUGCAAGAGUCUCAAAAUGAUCUGAUAACUAAGAUGAUACAAUUAUUAAAGGGAGUAGAUAAGGGGAAAGGUCAUGUGAUUAUUAAUGAAGAAGAUAACAAUGGUGAACCACUUUACCCUCCAGGUUUUACGCCUCCGCACGCGCAGGUUCAGACUGAGCUGCAUUCGCGAAGACCCUCUGUGUCGGUUAGGCCUCAGCAGUUCCAAGGCGAUAUUUCAAUACCGAUAAAUUUUUAACUCGGAGCGGGCUCUAAUCCCGGUGAUAGCCCGAAUAAUAUUGCUAUCCCAGAUCUUGAUGAGAUGGCUGAAAGGGACAAGGCGAAGGAGGAGCUUCCAAAACAAUUUGAGGAGAAAUGGAAAUGGAUCGAAGAGAAGUUUAGGGCAAUAGAAAGCAUUGAAAGCUAUCAUGGGAUAGACGCAAAGGAUCUGAGCUUGGUUCCGGACUUGGUGCUACCUUACAAAUUUAAAAUGCCGGAAUUUGAGAAAUAUAACGGGACCAGUUGCCCAGAAGCCCAUAUUACUAUGUUUUGCAGGAGAAUGACGGGGUAUAUUAAUAAUGAUCAAUUAUUAAUACAUUGCUUUCAGGAAAGUCUUACAGGAGCGGUGUCAAAGUGGUACAAUCGGCUGAGCAGAACAAAAAUUGGUACUUGGAGGGAUUUGGCAUAGGCUUUCAUGAGACAGUACAAUCAUGUCUCGGAAAUGAUGCCUGACAGAAUUACCCUGCAAAAUAUGGGGAAAAAGCCUAAUGAAAGUUUUAGGCAAUACGCACAAAGGUGGAGGGAGAUUGCCGUACAAGUUCAGCCACCACUCCUGGAAAAAGAAACAACAAUGCUCUUUAUCAAUACGCUGAAGGCCCCGUUCAUUACGCAUAUGUUAGGAAGCGCGACAAAAAGCUUUUCAGACAUAGUCAUGAGCGGUGAAAUGAUUGAAAGUGCCGUGAGAAGUGGAAAGAUUGAUGCUGGGGAGAAUAAUAGAAGGUCAGACUUAAAGAAUAAGGAAAACAAGGUGAGCAAUGUGAACACUUACAAUAAGGUGAUUGCUAGUCAGCAAGGUUCAUCUAGACAAGAACCUUGUGCGAAACAAGGUACUGAGAACCUCCAGUUUACGCCAAUUCCGAUGACGUACAAGGAGCUGUAUCAAAAGUUAUUCAACGCGCGCAUUGUUGCCCCUCUCUAUACAAAGCCUCUACAGCCUCCGUACCCUAGAUGGCACGAUGCGAAUGCACAAUGCGAAUAUCAUGCGGGAAAUACGGGGUAUUUGAUAGAAAAUUGCAUUGCUUUUAAAAAACUGGUUGAAAGGCUUAUUAGUAUGGGCGUCGUUAAAUUUGAUGAUUCCUCCUGUGCGGAAACUCCAUUACCCAAUCAUAAUUGAUAAGUGGAGUGAAUGCAAUGCAGAAGCAACUGAAGAAGGGACCCUGUUAGAUAUUUGCCCUUAUAAACGUGGAAGUGUUCUAAGCAAUUCAACUGCGGAAGAAAACCCUAUAGUCUCUAGAGAUUUUUAAAGUAAUGUUCAGAACAUUUUUGUUGUUCUUAGCCUAGAAAUGAUAAAAAUUCCUUUGUGAAAUAGGCUUAUGUCUGAACGUUAUUAUUUUAAUGAAAUACAUCUUUACGAUUAUUUUUGAGCCGAUAUUUUCAUUCUUUACGGAUAAUUCUAUAUUCUUUCAUUCUUUUGGAUUUUCUUCCAAACCAUCAUUCAUUCAUAAUCAUAUUGUAAAUAAUCAUUCAUAAAUUUAUACAUUCUUUUGUAUAUUCUUCGGUGCAUAUUAUGGGUCAUCAGAUAUCAAUGACGUGAAUGACUCUGCUACAGACCCAGAUUUUUCUUUUGAGAAAGUCAUGUGUUCAGAGGGAUCUCAGGAUUUUGAAAAUGACAAAGAUUGUAGCUUACUUCCGGACUUAUUGAGGAUGGUUGAGCAGGAGGAUAGACAGAUCCUACCUCUCAAUGAAUCAUUAGGAAUUCUGAGCUUGGUGAAGAUUAGAAUUGACUUGUCCUCAAAAAUGAAGUAAGACCUUGUUCAAAGAGGUCUUUGUAGGAUCACAACAGGAUACGCCGGGUUAAGCACUGAUAAAGAAAUCUACACAACAACACGAUGUCAAAACUUGUAUGAAUGAUACAAUUCUCUGCUGGGGCAAUGCCGUUCUCGUCGAUUCAGCAUAGCUUUGCCCGUUGGAAGUCAAGUUUCUAUCCUUUCAUGAUAUUGGAUUUUAUCCCGAUGGAAGAGGAAGAUCAAAAGUUUCCAGUUGUAGUUUUGCCCCAAAAGGCUCUAUAAGGGAACUCCGAUAUUAGAGGAGAUCCUUUGAAAGGGAUAACAAGGACUUGCCUAAUCCCAAGAGUUCAGAUCCGAUUCGAAAAAAAGGAAAAGAAAAAGAGAAAAAAAUCAAAAUCAAAAUCAAAAUAAAAAAAUAAAAAGAAAAAUAGAAAUCAAUCAAAGUCAAAAUAAAAAUAUGAAAAGCAAAGAAAAGAAAAGAAGAGGCCAAGGUAAAAACCCAAAAAGGGCGCUUUGUGACCAAAGGUGGUUUUGAGUUGAAAACCCGAAAAGGGCGACUCAAAUUUCGAGCAAAAUGGGGCAUGGACAUCACCAUUAUCGAAGACUUCUAAUGGGCAUUGCUUCACAAUUGAGAUCAUUAAUUACUUCAUCAAAGGGAUAGAGGCUAUUGCACGCGUCAAUGUCAUCAUAUGCUGAUAUAGAAUUCUAUAGAGGAUGGUAUUGGAAAAUGCAUUGAACUGGAAUGACAACACGAUAGCUGAGGGCUGUAAUCAGUUCAAAAUUAGACACCACGGUUUGUCACUGUAUUGCAAGACAAUGAAGUUAAAAAAAAAAUAUGAAAAAUGAAAAUGAAAAGUAAAAUAGAGAGGCUAAGGGGAAAACCCGCAAAGGGCACCUUAGGCCAAUGGGGAUUUGAGUUGAAAACCCGAAAAGGGCGGCUCAAAUAUUGAUCAGAAUGGGGCAUGAGGUAAUCAAAGCAACUCGAAUCUUGACCAAAUUAGGCAUAUGGUGAUCUUGCUAUGCCUGAAUCAACAGGAAAUGAUAGACGACAUCUUGGGGCAUCGACAGAGCACUGUAGAUCUCCUAAACACAUGUCCAACUCAAAAUGGACAUUAGAAAGUUUGUACAGAGAAGUUCAAACUGCGAUAUCUGUGGCACCCAAUUCUCAUAUUAUUUGUUAUUCUUGGAAUACCUUUUUCCUUUCCAAGAUAUACAUUCCCAAUUAAUUCAUUUGUCGUCCUUCUUUACUAUUUUCGAUAAUUUGUUCUUUUGAGCUAUGCUUAGAACCAACUUUAUUCUUAUCCAUUGUUAUGACCAUUUUUGCAAGCGUGUUGCAUUGGAAUAAUAAUUAAUGGACUAAUAAAACUUUCACAAAGGAAGUUUUGCAUAUUACUCUGAAAAGUUUCUAAAUAAUAUAGGAGCCUGAAACAGGACUAUUGUUUAGAACACACCAAUUUUAAAGGUUGAAAAUCUGAGAAUGAAUAAUCUAAAUUUAGCCAUUCAAACUCCAUCAAACCUGUGAGCCAUUCAAACUCCAUCAAAUUCUAUCAGUACAAGACUCUUGGAAUUCUACAAUAACAAACACAAUGAUACUAUUUAUUUUGUUACAAGAAAAUUGAACAGAAAAGAUCUCUACUUGGAAAUGAAAAUAAUUUAGAUGUAGAUAUUGAAACUCCAAAUCUACUUGAUAACACAUAGUACAUACUGAAAAAAAAUCAAGGACUAACUGAUCUUUAAGAAGAAGCUCUAGGUAAAGCACAUUCUACAUUAUUGGAUUUGUUCCUACAGCAAUAUCGGUAUACUGAGACAUAGAUCCAUCAUCCGUUUGAACAAAUAUUUUACAAUCUGAACUGCACUUUAUAUUUACAGAGCUUUAUGUAUUGGAAAAUUAAAAGCCAAAGCAACAUGGUCUGAGCAUAAUCACUCCCAAACUACUAUAGCAACUGAACAAAUUAGAGCAGAGCUUAUGUGCUAAAAACGAGUUGCAAGUUCUCCAUGAAUAACAUUUAAUUACACGAAUGACAGAGAAGUCUACAAGAGAAGAAGAAGACGUAAAAAAAUUCCAGCAUAUAGUAUAUAUCACGAAAGGAAGUGGUUGUUCAAAAUAGCAAGUUGAGUCAAUUACGCUUAAUUCCAAAACACAAAUGGCCAAAUUCCUUGCACUUUUUUUCUUCUUUCUAAAUCAACUGUCUCAGCAAAGAUCACAUGCAAGAAAGGGGUUAAAACAAGAAGUAUAAGUAAAAGGGUACAAAGCAUAUUAUGGUUCCACAUAAAACUUCAGCUCCAACGGAAGAAUGAACAAACUUCAAUCCAGAAUCUAAGAAUUCAACUUUCAGGUAAGCAUUUUUCCUUACAUUUCGAGAAUCAUAGUCACUCAUUCAAAUAAAAUAUGUUUCAGAACACAAAUGUCAGAUUCGUAUAAUUUAGGAGAAAUGAAAAAGCUCCAGCAACAAAGAUUUUAUGUGAAGUAGAUAUAGAAUUUUUUUAAAAAAAACCUCGUGUUGCAACCGCCAUUUCUCACUUACUCGUCCGCAAAGCAUUUGGAAUUACAAAAAAAAUGAAAUAAAAAAAUUUAAAAUAAUUAAAAAAACACAGUGAAACAUAACUAACAGAGGAAGUGAGCAAUUAGAGAAUGGCCGCAAAAUGCAGGAAAAAGAAAAAAAGAGAGCAAAAAAGCAACAAUGGAAUCAAAUCUAAAAUACCUUUGGGAGAUGUUUUCUUCUUGAAGAUCUUCAACAUGAGAUUAACUUCACUGGUUUAUCCUUCAAAAACAGACAAAAACCCUAAGAAACUAAUUUCAAUGUGAGAGCAAUAGCACUUCCAGUGAGGGAGAGACCUGGGCAUGAAAAAAGAGGGAGAAGGUUGGAAAGAAAUGGGAAGAAGAAUGAAAAAAAGAAGAAGAUGCUUCAGACGUAUUACACCCUCAUCUAAACCAACUCCAUAAAACGAGAAGAAGAAGAAGCAGAAAUCGAUGGAAGGGAAAGGAAAAUUACCUCUGGAAGGGAAACGUGGGAGAAUCGAUGGAACGAAAGCUUGAUGAGGGCAGAGAAUGGAAUAGAAAAAAAGAAUAGGGAAGGAAUCCCUAAUCAGCGUUUGAGGCAGUGAAUGACUAUUACAGCCAAUGAAGGUAAUAGCCCCGUAACCGAAUCGGGCCGUAAUAGCAUUACGGGCAACCAAAUGCCCAUUUGGUGGUGGGCCCGCAGAAUAGGGGGAAUGCAUGCCUAUUCCCCCCAACCAAACGCCCCAUUAGGGAUAAAAGAAAUACUUAUAUCUAAAUUUGGUAACUUUAUCUUGGUAUGUAAAAAUUUUUUUGGUUGAUAUUAUGGUGUUUGAUACUUUUUUUCAAUUUUACCUUUAAAUUCGAAUUUUGUUAAAGUGUGCUGAUGUGACAUUAAAAUUUUUUUUGGUCAGAACAUUUUCAAAAUGGAUUAAGAAACAAGAGCUUGGUACAAAUUCCUUGACAACAACAAAAAAAAAAGUCACAACAAAUCAUACUAAAAACCCCUAUUACAACGAUAGAGAUAAAAAAUCUUAACUCAUAAAAAAUCUUGACUCCAAGUUUAUUUAGACAGUCAUCACUAUUCAAAACUUUAAGGGAGCAAGUAGCUCAUAUUUGUCCAAUAUGUGAACGGGAGGAGAUAGGGGUCUCCUGACCCAACCAAUAAGGCUCACCCUCUUCUUUGUUUGCAAUGCAACUCAAUCUGUUGCUCUAUUAGCAUUUCACGUGAUUAAGCUAAAUCGAACAUUACGGUUCUCUACAACCAGUUUGUCAAGCUUAUUCAAGCCAGGUGCAAGCUUCCAUAUUGCUUUGCUAUCCUUUUUGGAGGCCUUCUGAAAAAUCACUUGUGAAUCAGUUUCUAGAUUCACCCACUCUAUCUUGUGUCUAACAACAUAUUUAACACCGAUGCACAUGGCAUGCAGUUCAACCAAUUCAGCUGAUUCUACAAUCAUCGCCUUCCCAUACCCACUCUUUAAAGUUUUUGUUUCAUCUCUAACAAUCACUUCAAUUCCAACUUUAUUAGAUUGCAAAUCAAAGGUACCAUCCUCAUUUAUUUUCAACCACCCAAGGUUAGGUUUUUUCCACAAGUUGCUAGCUUCUUCACUUGGGUCUCUUAUCAUAUGAUCUCUACUUUCUUGCAUUAAACCAUCAGAAAUAUGAAAUAAAACAACUUUUAUUCUAAAGAUAACCCUCUGAAUAUUAAUUUCCUUUCUUGCCAACAUUCUUUUGUUGUAUCUGGUGCCCUAAGUGUAAAAUUUUUAUCAAUAUACACUUAUAAUUUUUCGAUCAGAUUGGUUAAUAAAAUAAAUUCAUUGAUUAUGAUUCAUAUACUUUGUAUUAUUGUUCUCAACUAGUUUUUGCACGCAAAGUAAAAUGGAAGCAAAUGUUACUCAUUGGUUAUUUAAAUGUUUAACUAAUACUAAGCGAUAUUAUGUGGUCGGAUCGUAGUACGGAAAGACAACUUGUAUUAGUAGACGAACCUUAACAUAUCCUUAGCCUAAUCGAAAAUAAGCAAAUCGAUUAAAAUACUAAUAUGUCAUCUAUCAAGUUCAAUUGGGAAGAUACCUUGUCUUGAGCACCGAAACGGAUGACUCCCAGAAGAUAGAGACAUAGAUGUGAUUGACUGGACUGACAAUACAUCAGAAAAGACCCAAGCAUAAUAGAUCUUGAAUCUGUUUAUGGAUUUAUUCACUUGUGAUGUUCAUAGUGUGACAUACAUAAAUCUUGAGUGGAUGGCGGACUAUGUAUGCGUGACUCAUACACUUUGAUGUAAGUAAAAGCCUAAGUUCAAAUAAAUAAGGAAUUGAAAGAUGAUGCGUUGGGUGUACGAAUUUUGUAGUAUAUAGCGUCAUUCACAACAAUGGAAUUCAUAUCCCAAAACAUGGGUAAAUGAUAUCCUUUCAUUGGCAUUACAUGGUUAAAGAAAAGUAAACGUGGCAACAAGUUGUUCGUAAUUGUGAUGGAUGACUUGAUCACUAUUUGAUAGUGAUUGACUUUUCAUGAAGGAAGAUGUAAUGGCUACCAUGAGAUAAAAUAAUAUCAUAUUAGGAGAACAAAUAUUAUCCCCAAGAGAUCAAUGAUACCCUAUGAGGGUAACACACUUAUGACAAGGUCAUUGGAUGAAACUGAGUAGUUGCUUUCGUAAUUGUAUGUCGUUGGGGAGAGUUUAGUCACGAUACUACAGUGGAAUGACUUUAUGACUAAAUAAAUUUAUAAUUAAUAGGUGAAAAGCCAAAACAUAAUUAUAAAUCAUUUGAGCCUCAACUAUACAUGUCCAAUCGAUCUAUCUACUAGCUCGUUGAAACCAGAAAUGAAUUCCUAGUGUGGAUUCUUUCUUUCACUGAGUUCCUAUAAGAUGGUUUUUUGGCCUACCCUUCUACUGAUCCUUAGAUACUUCCCCCUAGACAACCAUUUCAAUUUUUUUUAGUCCAGGACGGGCUCCUUUUUUUACCAUAGUCUUGAAGGACUUGCUAAUGUCCCAACUUCUAGGAUAACUAGUGAGAUUCCAUAUCACUUUGGUGGAUUAAGGCCCUCUUGGGAUAAAUAACAGUUGGAUUACUUCCUUAUAAUCCACAUUGUUUGAGGUACCAUGCUUGAAUGUGUAACAUAUCCAUCUGUUGUGGGCCUUUCUGACCUUUAGUACUCCGCUGACUAUCGUUGGAGUGGCUAUUUGUGCCUAUGAUCUAUCUCAUAUUGGUCCCCUAUGGAACUAGCCAUUUGGUGGGUACUUUCUUAAUGGCUUUCCCCUUUUGGUAACUCUAUCUAUUAUUGGGUUCUAACUAACUCCUCCCGUCCUUGUGGACUAACCAACAUACUUCGAUCAACAACUAACAUACAGGGUUCCUUGAGCACCCUCUGGAGAUUCUUGAUGGUGAAUCCUUAUUUGUGAUCCUCGGUUAAGCCUUAAUUCAUUUGCCUAUACACCAGACACUACUAGUGUGUUAAUUUACGUGACUACUUCUUGUUGGGUACCACCCAUAUGACCUACUGGCUUUCACAACUACUUUUCUAAUAGUCUUUUCCCACUUUUAUUCAAUGGCUUAUUCCUUCGACCUGCUUGGCUAACUAUUAUGUGUCCAUACUUUCAUUUUUCCCCUAACUCUUCUUUCCUGUUUACAGAAGUUCCCACUAUUGUCAUCUUGACUGACCACCCGUGUUUAUUAUCUCGACAGACCUCACAAGCUGCCAUAGCUGAGCUAUGAUCUUACUUGCUAGGUUCCAUGUUUAAUGUCCUGGCGGACUCCAUUGUUUUCCAUAACCAAGCUAUGGCAUUACACAUUAUAAUCCCUGUGUUUACUAUCUCGGUUGACUAUCCCAUAUUUAAUGUCUCGUCAGACUAUCUCGUGUUUAACUUUCUGUCAGACUAUCUAUGAUACCGUAACGUCUUUUAAUCAUGGUCUUACACAACAUAACCUCGUGUUUACUGUCCCGUAAACUAUUAAAGGAUGCCAAAGUGUCUUUCAGCCAUGAUCUUAGUCCUAUUCAACCAUUCCGGUGUGCUUUAGAAUGAUGCCAUAACAUCUUUCAGUUGUGGUCUUACUUAUUUCUAUCAUGAUGCUAUAACAUCUUUUAGUUAUGGUUUUACUCAUUUUUGGUAUAUAGCCUCCGAUUAAACCCAUGACCUAGCCAUGAUCUUUUUAUUUAUCUUUCCUAUUGCAUUUAAUCCAUUCCUACAUUUCACCACCUAGACUUGAUGCUCAAAUACUUCAGUGUCCCCUUCGCAAGGCUUGGAGCUUCGCACAUCACGAGUGCACCCAGCAACACCGUAUGACGGUAUCUAACAGAAUCAUCCCUUGUUCUCUAUCCUAUCUUCAUCUAUUUCCCUUGAUAAUUUCCCUUUUAGUAUUCUAUAUAAAAUGCACGCAUUUUAGAAAUAAGACCUUAUAGGAUCAUGCAAGAUGAACUAAAAUGGCAGAUACUAGUAUAUAAUACAAAAAUCAGUAGAGAUAAUUCGUCAUUCAAAAAAUGGAGUAUAGAAACUCACCUAAAGUUUCUUCACCUUCCUUCCCCAGCUUAGCUUUCCCGAAUUAUAGAGCUCCUACUCUCUCCUGAAAGCUAAGCAUAUAACCAAAGUCAUGAGCUAAGCUCAGAAUAUUUAGUUUAAACUUAAUUCUUAGAAACAUACAGAACCCUAGAAAGUUUCUUGAAAAUCCUUGACUUUACUUUCUAAAUCUUACGUGUAUAGAAGGACUAAGAACUUUACCAGUUCGCUGGUCUCUCUAUUCUUUCUAUCAAAAACUCAUUAUCAUCACUCCAUGUAGAGCUUCCCCUAACUAUCUCUUCUUCGAAGCAACCAAAGAAGAAAAUGAAGAGGAGAAUAAAGUGAAAAAGAAAAAUGAGAAGAAUUCCCUCUUGGGAAACCAUUUCCCCAACUAUAUAUAGCCCCCUCUCUCACAGUCUUCAACCCUUUAAGAACAAUCCAUUGCCAACUAUUUCGUCCCCCACUAAGGGACCACGCUGGUUCUAAUCUAUCUGAACCAGAUUUGAAGCUCAACUAUCCAAACCAGCUUCAAAUUUUUUGGUAAGGAUCGUCGGCUAGUGGUCUCUUUUAAUUUAAUCCCUAACUAUCCGACUUUAUGGGUUUAAAGGAAAUUAGGUGUGACAGAUUCUUAGUUAAGAGUGACUAUCAAUAUAAUUAGUAUAGAUUUAUUAGCUUAGUUAACGAUUAACGAAUCAAUUGACCAUUGAUUUAUCAUUUACAUUUUCUAAAAUAUGGAAUAAAAUUAGAUUAGUUAGUUUAAUUGAUAAUUUAAAUUUAGUUUAUAAACAAUUUUUUAUUUGAACUUGCAUUAAUAAUUUUUGACUCGAUUAGAUUAGUAAUUGCUUAACUUGUAAUUAACUUGGUAAAUACAUUUACCCAAUUGACAAUCCUUUGGGUUCGAACCUAAGGAUACUCGAGUGUCCUAUUGGCACUACAAAUUUUACAAUUGACACUGUACGCUUACAGUUAAAAACUCACUUUUAAAUUAUUUUAUAAAAUUAUUUGUAUUUCUGCGCAUGCGACACACAGUCAUUGAUGGAUGCCCAUACUUGAUCUCUAUUCCUCCGAGGUGCCCAGAAAGCAUCCAUCAAGGGCUUAUUCACCUCCAGUUCAACACGCAUGCAAAGAAAGCUCCUCCCAAGUCCACCAUAACCUUAUGGACCAUCAACCUUAAUCACUCGUCCUAGAUGUUCUCUUAUGUUUCUCGCAUUUUUUCGAUUCAACAUCUUCAUAGGAAGAUUAUGAAUCUGGAUCCAAAAAUGGAUUCAAGAGAAAUCAAUUUUAGAAAUAACUAAAUCCUUUUCCCACCUCUGCAACUGAAUUAGAUUACUCAUAAUUGGACCAAUGGCUCUCAUAAAUUACCCUUUGCAUUUUCGUUUCAGAUCUAAAGGAGAUCGCAAAAACAUUUUCCCUUUGACGAAAUUCCGUAAAAAAAAUUGAGAACUCCUUUGUGUCACUGCAAGGCUUUGAUCAUCCCCCUCAUCCAAUCAAAUCUCCAUAGACUUGAAACAGAAAAGAAUAGAGUAAGAAAGUUGCGCACAACACUACUUCCAACCAUUUGGUCGCAAAACCUAAGUAUUCAAUUAGAUUAAAAAAAAAGAAAAAGAAAAAGAAAGAGACCUACGUUGAGAAUAGAGUUAAGGACACCUUAGAAAAGGGAACAACGCUUACAAGAAAGAAAAAAAAAGUCUUAGAGGGAAAACUCCUGAGAGUAAAACUUUGACUUAGGUUGGAUUUAAACAAGGAUUUUCUUGUGACACUGAGAUGAUGUCAUGUGAUCAUAUGAAUUCUAAAAAGAAAAUUAAAAGAAUUUAUAAGUUUUUUUUUUAUAGUUUUUAGAUUUUAUAUAAAAUUUUCAAGAGAUUAUGUAACAAUAACAUUAAUGAAGGGUCUGUUUGAUUGACGGAAUUGAUUUUCCGGAAAAUCGUUUCCAACUUUUCCAGCGUUUGAUUGGCGGAAAACAUUUUCCAUUUGAAAAAUGAACUCCAAAAUAAGAGAAAAUGAGUUACAUUUUAGGGAAAAUGUCUUACCCUUUCAAUUUCUGUAAGACAUUUUCCGUGCUCUCCUCUCCAUCGCCUCCUUCAUUCAUUCCUUCAUUUCCGGUAGAAAGCUGCUUCUGUUUAUCGAUUUUCCAGUAACUUGUUUUUUAAUUAUUCAAUACUUAUUUUUUUAACACAAUUACAAAUAAUUUAUUUGAUAUUAGUUUUUUUCAAUUUAUAACGAUUAAUAUUGUAGCUUAAUAAUUGAAUAUUAUUAUAAAUAAAUCAUUGCAAUAUAUGUAAAAAUAAUUUAAAAUAUAAAAAUUUAUUAAUAUAUAUUAAUAUAUGUAAAAAUAACUUUUCCGAAAAAUAUUUUUAAAAAAUCUGCCAAGCAACAGAAAAUAUUUUACACAGAUUCAAUCAAACACUAGAAAAUAUUUUCCAGUAAAUCAUUUUACAGAAAAGUAAAACAUUUUCCAGAAAUCAUUUUACGGAAAAUAUUUUACUGGCAAUCAAACAGACCCGAAAAUAAAGUUCAAGAAAAAAUGGUUCUAAAACUUACGUGAACACAAAAAAGCUGAAGAAUUAAGUUAAGAAAAAAAAUCAAAUUUAAUGACUAAAUAUUGGUGUAUCCCUAAAAUUUAUAAUAUUAAUAAAUAAAAAAAGCCACGUGGGUGGAAGAUAAGAUCAUCAAAAUGCCUAGUCAUCCAACCUCUUACAUUAAAAUAUAUACCUAAUUGUUCAAUGUUAACAUUUUUCAAAAAGCUCUCUAAGUAGAUUUGAUUAAUAUAAUAUUAAAGAAGAAUUAGAGUAUGAGGGGAUCAGAUCUUUUGUUUUGGUUAAAAAUGAUGUUAAAAUGGAUUAAAUUAAAUUCUUAAUUUGUAGAAAUUAGGAUUAACUAUUUUCUUUUCGUUGAAUUAAAAGGUAAAAAUUAUUAAAUUGAAUCAAUAAUUUUUAGAAAAUCAAUAACAGUUGAGUGCAGUGCAUUCUUAGGAAGAUACUUCUAAUUUGAAUCUUGGAGAUGACAUUAUCGAGAGAGACAACUAUAGAACUAGAAAUGAUUAGUUUUCAUGAACUAUAAAGUAGAUAUAAAAAAAUUAGAAAAGCUAAGAAAAUGAUAUUAAACUAUUUAAUUAAGGGGGUCGAAGCUCCUGCCUACAGGGGUGAAGCUAGAAAAUUUUUCUUAGGCCGAAAUUAUUUUUUAAUUUUUAUGAGAGUUAAAAUGUAAUUUCUCAAUUUUAAUAGUUUAUAUAUUUAUAAUUUUUUAAAGGACUAAAUCAAAAUUUUAUCAUUUUUUGAAGUAAAAGUGCAAUUUUACCUAUAAUACUAAUUUAGAAUUUUAUAAAUUGUAAAAUACCAAAAGUAAAUUUCUCAUUUUAGGGGAGCGGGGGCCUACCCCCUUGUCUACCUACUUCAUUUAGAUCAAUUUUGGGUUUGAGUAAUUUUUUUAUUUAAAUUAUUUUUCAUGUUCAAGUGAUUUAAUGAGCUCAUAUCAUUUCAAAGUUAUGAUUACUUCAAGUUUAAAACAUUUCAAAUUACUUGUUUGAAUUAUUUUGGAUUUGAGUUAUUUCAAAUUCAAGUUAUUUUGGCUUUGUGUUAGUUUGAAUUCGAGUUGGCUGAGUGAAGUAUAUGAUUUAUAUAGGUGAAUAUACUUGAGAGGUCUCUCUAUUAUAAGAACUUGAUCAAUUUAGUCCAUGCACUAUUAAAUGGAUCAAAUUAGUCUUUGUACUAUUAAAAAGAAUUAAAUAAGGCCAAAUUGGAAUAGAGUUAACAUUUACGGUUUAACAAAGUUAAUAUUUUUAAAAUUUUUAUGGUUUUAUAAAUAAAAGUUUUUAUUUGAAAUUGAACUACAAUUGAAAAUAAAUUAAUUUCAAGAUAUUUUUUAUACAAUAAAUGUUAACUCUAUUAUAAUUUGAACUUAUUUGACUCUUUUUAAUAGUACAAUGAUGAAAUUGGUCUAUUUAAUAAUAGAGGGACUAAAUUAAUCCAAUUCAUAUAAUAUAAGGACCUCCUGAUACUUUAACCAAUUUAUAUAUAUCUCAGUUUUUGGAGUUAAAUAUUUAGCAAAUGACGUCUAAAGGAUUUACACUAAAUAAAAGUUGAGACACUAUCUUUGAUUUUUGACCAUAAUAUUAUAAUUAAUAUAACUAAACAACGGAGGUAUUAAUCUAUACUUAGUAAAAAUUAUUCAAAGUCUAAAUCUCAACUUAGAUUUAAUAUAUUUAUUUACUUUGUACAUUAUUAACUAAUAAAGUUUAUGAAUUUCAAGAAAAAAAAUGAAUUUGAAGUGAUAUAGACGAGGGGCUGGUAGGGGCUCGAUUCCUCUAGAUGGAAAAUUUUCUUGUUUAAGAUUUCUAAAAUUUUAAAUUAAUAAAUGUAAAAUUACACGUUGAUUCCUUUAAAAAUGAUAAAAAUUUGAUUUAAUCUUUUAAAAAUUAUAAAGAUAUAGACUAUUAAAAUUGUGAAAUUACAUUUUUACUAUCGUAAAAAAUUAUAAUUUAAUUUCGACCCCUAAAAAAUUUUCCAACUUCACCCUAUGUACAUGAUAAGAAAUAUAUAUAUAUAUAUAUUUUAUUUGAAUUGAUUUUUUUUGUCUUAAAGCAUUGCGCAUCGCUUGAUAUUUUCUUUAUUUAAAAAAAUUGAUAAAUAUUUGAAAUAAAGAAUAAUCCUCCUUUAUCAUUAUUAUUAAUUGAUAUCGAAUAUUCGAAUUUACAAGUUAAGAUGUAGUUUCAAUAUUUAAUAAAUCUAUUACUUUCCUUCAUCAAUAAGUCAACUAUUUUGACCGAAUCAAAUAGAGGGUUGGCCUAAUUAAGGAUUUACCCUUGUUUAUAAUAUAUAAUCAUGUACACUCAAUCCAAUAAUAUCAAAAUCAAAGUUGAUUAAUUGAAAAAACCAAUCAAAUUAAAAUUGAUUUGGUAUAUAUGGCCAGUUUUCUUAACUAAAGUUGGUUGAAUUUAAUUUUUUAUGUUAAAAUCUAUUACAUCCAUUUUAAAAAAACAAUUGACCAAAUCAACCGAUUAAACCAGUUGCUCCUCUAUGAAACCUAUACCAAACUUUCUAUAGUAUUUAAAGUUACAAUACCAACAACAAUAGGAAAUGUCAUAAUAAGAAUCAACCACAAUGGGAGCAUCAUGGGGAAUAGUCUGAGUGGUGUGUUAAUAAAGAGUCUCAAUAAAGGAGGAAGUAAGGAGGAAAAGGUGGUGAAGAUAAGAAAACUGAUUCAUCUGUGAUAAGUGGAGAGCUGAAGUAAAAGGUUGAGGAGGAGAAAGAAGAGGAUGAUGAGUAAGGAGAAGGCUGAGGGGGUACACUCGAGUUUUCUUGAAGAAGAGGGGGAGAUACUUCGUUUCUCUUGCUUUGAGGUAUAUAUAGGAGGGUGCCACUCGUUUGGUAGUGCCACGUAGCCGACAAUACGGAAAGUAGGCCUAUUUGUGUGGUCGGCCAAGUAGCAAGGUCAUUAUAGGUCAGUUGUCGCUAUAUACGAUCCUACUCUAAUAUUCUCCUUGCUGAGAUUGUAUGAAGUUGUUAUAACUUAGUAGUCCAUCAGUGAUUCCCACGGAGAGUUCAUAACGGAUGGUCUCUAGAUGGUUCAAAUGGGAUUUGUGAAGGGUUGAUCAUGAAUGGUUCUGAAUGGGGACUUACCACAAAAGGCAUUAAGCAGAAGGUUGCUCGUGAGUUGCAUCCAACGGAAGGUCUUUACCAAGCCGUCUCAUGUUCUGUCACAUGUUCUCGCCACAGUAGGGUAUAAAAUGGUGCCUUUCUAAUAACAAAGUGCACCCUUAGAAGAUCAGAUGGAAGCUCUAAGGAAAGAGAAGGAAUCUUUUCGUAGAACCAAGUCCAAUAAUGUUGAAUAGACCUCAUACUCCAACGAUCCCAAGGCUUAAAAAAUUGCUAGUGAGCAGAUGCCUAAUCUGUGUCCUAUAUAUAUAAUUUGACCUAAACACACAUGCUAAGGAAACCCUUGAAAUUUAUAAAAAUAUUAGAAGGAUUAAACGGUGAACAAUAAUGCAUCUUACAUUCAUUGACUUCAUGAUAUUUUAUUCCCAUAUUAUAUGCAAUAGUAAGACCAAAUUAUCAAUCAAGUAAAUUUAACAGUUUGCUUCAAAGUUAAAUUCCUCAAUUUUCUAAUAGACAUUUCAACCUAUAGUACAAGGACCUAUUGGGUAAUUUAACCAUAAGUUUAUUAUAAAAUACAAUGCGUAUAAGAUCAGAUUUGCUAGCAGAGAAAAGAAUAAGAAAAUGAUCCUUAUGGUUACCAAAAAAGAAAAUAGUUUUAUGAAGCGGAAGCACUCAUGUGAAGUGCAACCAAAGAUGCAUACAAACCAUCUUUGAUAUUUAUCAAGGUGUCAUGUUUUCCUUUCUCUACAAUGACACCAUUUUUAACCACUGCAAUCACAUCUGCAUUUUUUAUUGUCGACAGCCGAUGAGCAACCACCACUGUUGUGCGGUUCACCAUGAUUCUAUCUAAUGCAUCCUGAACCACCCUCUCUGAUUCGGCAUCCAACGCACUCGUUGCCUCGUCUAGGAGAAGUAUCUUCGGACUUUUAACUAUGGCUCGUGCAAUGGCUACCCUUUGCUUUUGUCCUCCUGAUAAUUGAACACCUCGCUCUCCUACUACCGUGUCGUAACCCUAUAUGAUAAUUGAUUAUAAAGUGAUUGUAUGAACGCACUGAGUUAAACCCGGAUUUUGUUAUCGAGUUCUCACCUGUUGUAAUGAACUUAUGAACUUGUGAGCAUUGGCCAACUCUGAUGCAGCUAAGAUUUCUGCCUCGGUUGCAUUUCCUCCCUUUCCGUAUGCAAUGUUGGCACGGAUUGUUUCGUUAAACAAAACAGGUUCUUGGCUAACAAGCCCCAUUUGUUGCCUCAACCAUUUUAAUUGGAGGGUUCGGAUUUCAACUCCAUCAAGAGUGAUAUGUCCCGAAUCUGGAUCGUAAAAUCUCUGCAAUAAUGAAAUCACUGUGGAUUUCCCACUCCCACUUUCUCCAACCAAAGCAACAGUCUGAAAAAAAGUUGACAAUAACGUAUGUAUGAUUUAGUCUCUAUGAAAUGGCAAAUGGAUUGUUUUGUUACCUUGCCAGCAUGGAUAGACAAACUCAAGUCUUGGAAAAUUUGAAUGUCUGGCCUUAAUGGGUACUUGAAACUAACAUGAUGAAGCUCGAUUUCUGCCUUCACGUUUUCUAGUGUUGUCCCGGACUCAUCGCUCAGGUCUAUCUUAGACUCGCGGUCGAUAAUUGCAAAUAUGGAAGCAGCAGCUGACUUGGCUUUGCUGGAAUCAGGAGCAAAGGAGCUUGAUUGAGUAAUUCCAAUAGUUGCCAUUGUCAAACCAAAGAAAACCUGCAAAACUAGAUAUCAGUCUCAUUCUCAUAGUUAUAUACAUAGUGAAUAGGUCUCAAAAUGGUUCCAAUAGAACUGGAUUUUAGACUCACUUGAAAAACAUCUGAGAAUUUUACGUGACCGUGCUUGACAAGCUGAGCUCCGGCAUAGAAAUUGGUAGCAUAAACAGAAAACAUCAAAAAGAAUGACAGUCCGAAUCCUGAUCCACUAAUCAACCCUUGCUUAAUCCCUGUUUGCAAUGGACCCUCGCAUUUCUUGCUAUAGAGUUGCAUCAUUUUUUCCUCUGCACAAAAUGAAGCUACUGUUCUUAUACUCCCGACAGCAUCAUUAGCAACUUGGCUUGCGUCUUCAUACAUCAUCUGUAACCAUUUAUAUUUACAUCCAAAUGAAUUAUAUGCAUAUAACAUAAUGCAUUAGAUAUUGAGGUCGAUAGUUUUGAGCAUACCUUUGCAUCUGCACUAAAUCCCUUCAUGAAAUUUGCUUGAAAAUAUCCAGUGAAUCCUAUCAAAGGGACUAGUCCUAGCAUUAUAAGAGCCAAUUGCCAACUUGCAACAAAAGCAAUGACCAAACCAGCAAUGGCAGAUGCAAGGUUUGAUACCAUCUGAGCUAGUGCAUCUCCAACUAGGCCACGUAUUGAGGCUGCAUCAACCGAGAGCCUUGCACCGAUUGAACCACUGGAAUUAUCUGGUUCAUCAAACCAACCAACUUCCAUGUGAACCACCUUCGAAAAACACAUUAAUCUGAUUUUUUGGAUUAGUUUACAUCCAGCAAUGGAGAAAAAGUAUGUUCGUGCUGGAGAUGCCAAUAAUGAUGCCAGGCCAAGGGCCAUAAAUAUCAGUGCCCAGAAUCUCGUAUCCUUUUUCAACUCAUCAGGUGGUUUAAAGAAUGUUUCAAUCACAUGGGAAAGCAGCAGACCAUAAAUUGGCAGUAUGACACCAUUGGCAACAGCGGCUAUAGUUCCAAGUAGGAGAACAGGAAUCUCUGGCUUGUUGAGGUAAGCUAGCCGACGGAUAGGAACCUCUAGAGGCUGCUUUAAUGGCUGUUUGGAAGGGUCUUCGGUAUCUACUGUUGAAGAAUCAUUGACAUUCAUUCCAGUAGGCAAACCGAAGGCUACAGAGAAAGAAUGGUGGCUGCUAUCUCCGAUAGAUGAUCCCCUACUGAUUGAUCGCUUCAUUGAUCUUCUCAGGCUUGACUGUCUAAAUGAUUCUGGGGUAACUUCUGAUACAUCUGCUACUUGUUCUGACUCUUUAUUUACUUCUUGUAACCGAAUAAGCUGAGAGUACGCUCCCUCGGGAUCUUUGAGUAGUUCUGAAUGUGACCCUGAUCGAUUCACAAAAUGUUAUUAGUGCUUAAGCAAAUGCAUCUCUCAACAUAUUGAGCCAACUCAAUCAGUUCAACUAGUGUUAGUUAAUGUCAGUUAGUCUGUUGAAAUCAGUUAGAGGUUAGUUCUUCUGUUAUGAAGUAGUUAGAUUUUGCUGUAAAGCAUACUCAUGUGCUUAUGAAUCAGGUUGAUAUAAUCAAGAAUUCUCAGAUUGCUUCUAAGUUUGUUUUUGUUUUUGCAUCGUUUCCUAGCUGUUCUAUGCAACAUAGCUUCCGUUAUGAGCAAGUUAAAACAAUUCAAGUAAGACAUUCUUUUAACCUACCUUUUUCAACCAUCUUUCCUCGAUGAAUUACGGCAAUUGUAUUUGCAUUUCUCACGGUACUCAAACGAUGAGCAACGAUGACCGUAGUCCUAUUGCCCAUUAUGCGGUCCAAUGCCUCUUGUACCACUCUUUCAGAUUCUGCAUCUAAUGCACUUGUAGCUUCGUCUAAAAGCAAAAUCCGAGGGUCCUUUAGAAUUGCUCUUGCUAUUGCAACUCUCUGCUUCUGUCCACCAGAAAGCUGAGUCCCAUGCUCUCCAACCAUGGUAUCUAGCCCCUACAUAUGAAGUUCAAAGUCGACAUAUCUUUUAUAAAAUGUAUGAUACGAACAAGAAAUAAUCAUGUUCUUCAGAAAAGGGAUUAGAACCUGAGGUAGUUUAUCGAUGAACUUAGCAGCAUUUGCAAGUUCAGCCGCGGCUUGUAUCUCUUCUAUGGUUGCAUCUUCUUUUCCAUAUGCAAUAUUAUCCUUAAUGCUUGAUGUAAACAACACAGGUUCUUGGCUAACAAGGCCAAUCUUACCCCUGAUCCAUCUAAGUUGGAAAUCUUUGAGGUUAAUGCCAUCGAUAAGCACUUCACCGGCUAGUGGAUCAUAAAACCUUUCUAUAAGACUAAUUACAGUUGAUUUCCCACUUCCAC
rnacentral:lncRNA from 1 species